AUGGCGAGCGGGCGAGGCAGCACACGCGGGGUAGGGGAAGAAAAUGGCAGGACCCGAUGGCGAGCUCCUGGUGGUGCUCGCCGGAGCAGUGGUGGCGAGGAGGAGGACCUCGGGUGGCUAAAGGCGCCAGCGAGCGCGGGGCGAUGUAGGGAGCAAAAACAGCUCCAGGAGCUUGACGGGGCGACGGAGCCGUAG
rnacentral:rRNA from 1 species